UUUGAAUACAAGUCGUAUAUACUUUCAGAUGUGGUGAAAGCGUUUCUACCAGGCUGCCGUAAUAGCCUGACUACGAUGGAACUUUUUUCA
rnacentral:ncRNA from 1 species